rnacentral:rRNA from 1 species
UACAGAGGUCUCAAGCGUUAAUCGGAAUUACUGGGCGUAAAGCGCGCGUAGGCGGCUUUGCAAGCCGGAUGUGAAAUCCCCGGGCUUAACCUGGGAACUGCAUUCGGGACUGCAUUGCUAGAGUAUGGGAGAGGGAAGUGGAAUUUCAGGUGUAGCGGUGAAAUGCGUAGAUAUCUGAAGGAACAUCAGUGGCGAAAGCGACUUCCUGGACCAAUACUGACGCUCAUGUGCGAAAGCGUGGGGAGCAAACAGG